rnacentral:lncRNA from 1 species
AUGGGGCUGGUGGGAAGUGCUGAUGUUGUGGCCGCUGCUGUUGUGAAUAAUCGACUGGCUUUGCCCGUGUCUCCUUUCAGCAUCCACGUACCUGGCGGCCUCCCUCAUCGCGUGCUGUUGGUAGGGGGGCGAGUCAGGCCCUGUACACGUCCUGACAGGCACCCGGCCCACCCCCAGCCAACUGUGCGCUGUGUUCCUGCCCCAGCACGAGACCUGUGGGGUGUCCGCGGCAGAAGAUGUCAGAGCUGGAAGAGACCUGAGAGGCGAUCCCCUUGGUGGGUGAUGGUUCUUCCGGGAAUCUGGUGGUGAUGGAGUCCCAGAAAGCGUAACUGUCUGCCAGCUCACGAGGCCGUUUUGUGCAGAUAGUUUGAUUACCUCUGUGGUUGGGAUUCAACUUGUCGCCUUUUCCCCGGGAAUCUCCAGAUGAGCGGUGUGUCAGCCUGGAAAAGGUUUGCGCGCCUUGUCGUCUGCUUCCAGAACAAGGAUCUUCGCUGUACGCCAAGACCCAGAUCCCUCUGACAUCGGAAUGACAAGUGGGAUAUUUAAUAAAACAGUUUCAAAUUUGGA